GUCCCCGUGUCCCCGUGUCCCUGUGUCACCAUGUCCCCGUGUCCCCUCCUUCUGUCCCCUCACAGCUGCAGGACCUGGGCCACCCCCCCAAGGAGCUGGCCGGGGACACGCCCCCCGGAUUCAACCUGGAGCUGCCGGGGGGGGUGAGUGGGGAGCAGUGCCGCCUCAUGUAGGGCCCUUCGGGAUCCCCCGGCGCGGCCGCCCCCGAGGAGGACGAAGAGGAGCCCGAGGGGUGGAGACCCUCACCCCACAAACAUUUCGGGGUUUUCCGGGGGCUGGGGGGUGCAGGGACCCCCCCAUUUGGGGAGAUGUCACCCCCUCGCCCCCCACCUGUGUCCCCAAUAAAGAGUUGGUGACGGGA